AUGAGGGGAGCUGGGUCCAGCGUGGCCUAUGCCCAGCAGGACGGGCGCAGCCAGGCCCCCCUGCACAGGAAGGGGUGGGUCAAGCGCAAUUCCUGGAGGCCAGGGCAGGCCAGGGCAGGGGAAGGCUGCCUGAGCCUAAGCUCAGCCUUCACCAUGGUCUCCACACCCCUGGUGGCACCCACAACACAGAAGCGGCACGGCACAACCCAGGCUCCAGGGACUGAGUGCCCUUGUGGAGCCACCACCAGCCUCCACCCACCUCCCCGCCAGCCCUCACUGGCCAGGCUGCCCAUCACAGUCCUCCUCACGGAACAGCCCUGCAGGGCUGCCCUAGGAGCAGAGAUGGCGAUGCCCGGUGCCCGGCCCUUUCAAAGACAUCAGACUCCAAGGAGGCAGGACAUCGAGGCCAGGUCUUCCUGUCCUCCCCCAGAGAUCAGCAUGGGGGCAGAGCACCAGCAAGGCCUGGCCAAGUCCACCCGACCCCCUUCUGUCUAUCCCUUGGCUUCCUGCUGCAAAGGCACCACUGCCUCUGUGACUCUGGGCUGCCUGGCCAUGGGCUACUUCCCAGAGACAGUGACUGUGACCUGGGAUGAAGCCUCCCUGAGCAACAGCGCUGUGACCUUUCCCUCUGUCACCACCUCCGGCCUCUACAUCACCACCAGCCUGGUCACUGCCUCAGGUGCCCAGGCCAAGCAGAAGUUCACCUGCAGAGUGGUGCACGCUCCCUCUGCAGCCCACAUCAACAAGACCUUCGAAGCGUGCUCUGUCACCUUCACCCCGCCCACCGUGAAGCUCUUCCACUCCUCCUGCAACCCCCGAGGGGACUCGCAUUCCACCAUCCAGCUCCUAUGCCUCAUUUCUGGCUACACCCCAGGUGAAAUCGAGGUCACCUGGCUGGUGGACGGGCAGAACAUCACCAACAUGUACCCGUACACCACCCAACCCAAGCUGGAGGGCAAGCUGGCCUCCACCCAAAGUGAUCUCAACAUCACCCAGGGCCAGUGGGUGUCCGAAAGCACCUACACCUGCCAGGUCGCCUACCGCGGCAGCAUCUUUGAGGACAGUGCUCGGAGAUGCGUAGAUUCCAACCCGCGGGGCGUAAGCAUCUAUCUGAGCCCACCCAGCCCCCUCGACCUGUAUGUCCACAAGUCACCCAAGAUCACCUGUCUGGUGGUGGACCUGGCCAGCAAGGAGGGCGUAAGUCUGGUCUGGUCCCGGGACAGUGGGAAGCCCGUGACCGUGGGCCCCCUGGUGACCAAGGAUCAGUACAAUGGGACAGUCACUGUCACGUCCACAUUGCCGGUGGAUGCCACAGACUGGACUAGGGGCGAGACCUACCAGUGCAGGGUGUCCCACCCUGACCUGCCCAGGGACAUCGUGCAGUCCAUCUCCAAGGCCUCCGGCAACCCUGUCUCCCCUGAAGUCUACGUGUUCCUGCCACCCGACGAGGAGGAGCAGGUGACCAAGCACAGGGUCACCCUUACGUGCCUGGCCCAGAACUUCUUCCCCGCGGACAUCUCCGUGCAGUGGCUGCGAGAGAAGGUGCAGAUCCAUGGUGACCAGUACAGCACAACGUGGCCCAUCACGGCCAACAGCUCCAGCCCCACUUUCUUCGUCUUCAGCCGCCUGGAGGUGACCUGGGCAGACUGGGAGCAGAACAAAGAAUUCACCUGCCGCGUGGUCCACGAGGCACUGCCUGGCAAUAGGAUCCUCGAGAAACCGGUGUCUAAAAAACCUGGUAAAUGA